CAUUAACAGCUUCAGUAGCUGAAUGUAGAACAUGCAAACUACUGCAAGCCCCAAUCCCUUUGUGGGAUGGCCUUACACACAUUUUCAAAAUUAAUAAGGAAAUACCGAAUGUAUCCUUUGAACAUGUAUUAACAAGCAGUGGUUUUGAACUGGCCGGAAUGUUGUUUUUGCUCAGGACCAUGUAUCCUGUGGUCAGCUAAUGCCCACAGUAGUAACUGCUGAAGCUGAAAUGAUAUUUUUUUGUUGAUGCUGUAACUUAUGAACACUGUUGCAUGUCCAUACCUUAAAAGAGAUGGAGCCCCUUCUAUAAAUUACAUAUUUACAUUUACACAGCUACUGAAUCUUUUAUAUGCAGUUUCAGUGAAAACAAUGUCUCCCAGAGUGUUAGUCUGUCAGCUCCUAUUGUAUGCAAUUAAAAAAGGGCAGUGAAAGCAAGUAAAAGUACUCUUGUGUUUUUUGAGAUCUAAUCUUUGUAAGAAAAGGAAUCUGAGAUGUCAACAGUAGUGCAUUGUGGUAGAGCAGUGCAUUAACAGUAUUUUUUUGUUCUUUUCCUGAUUAGUCGCUUCAGCUGUAAGUGAGGUAACAAUUUAACAGAGGUAACUCGUUAUGUGGAAUGACUCUGACUGCUGAGAUACUUAAAAUCAUCUUGUGACACUCUGGAGCUCAAUGCAUAAAAUAUUAGCUUGUGUUGCCAGAAGAAAUGGCCAGGACAGUGGAUGUGUGAGGCUGUGAGGCAAGUAUGGAAUAGAUGGUGUUCACUCAAUGCCCACCGUACAAGGAAGAAAUGGCAAACUUCGAGCAUACACGCAGUGUUUUCCUCAGUGCUGCUCUCUCCACACCUUUGUAUCAGACACCUCCUGUGCCAGGAUCUACCUGCUCAGCACUCAUGAUCCACUUCGUAGGGGAACAGCCAGCUCCAUGUAAGCAGUGGCAGGAGACACCCUUGUAGACAACAGCAAUCACACAUCUGUAACACCAUCCUUCCACUCAGAUCCCACACAGAACAGAGGAAAGGUAGAGUAGAGCAGGGCCCAAACUAUAGAGGCUCUGGAUGCAACUGUAGUGCAGAUAAUCUUCACAGUGACCCAGAGGGAGAACCAAGGCCACACUCAGAGGUCAGAGAAAGGUGAAGAUCAGAAAAAGUUAAGACAGGUCCCAUACACUUCAAAUACUGUCUGCCUAGCUGUAGUUAGAAAUGAUGAUUGCUUAAUAUUCAGAAUACUAUACUACUGAAUUCUUUCCUAUACUUUCAUGAAAGGUCUUUCAUGAGGAAACUAUUAUGGUCAUAUUUAAAAUAAUUAAAAUAUUUUUUCUUUAUUGAAGUGGAGUUGACAAAUGAGUUUAUAUUAAAAAAUGUAAUUUUUUUUUUUUUAAGUUUCUGGUUUUAUAUGUGUAAUGACACCAUUUUCUAUGUUAAACUAUAUUUGUUAUAUAACCUAUAGCAGUUGAUAUAUUUUGGACCAUGCAAUAACAUGUUCAAAUUCCUUCCAGAAUGUGAAAUUGUCACCAGAGUUUUAAAAGAGGCUCUCAGAGGCCCCAAGCCAUUGGAAAAUUAAAGUUCGGGAAAAGUGCACUAAAGGGAAAAUCAGUGUUUUCUCAAAGACUCUUAAGAAAUAGUAAAGAAAAGCAAAAGCAAUUAGUCUUCCAUUUUUUUAAUGCAGUCUGAAAGCACAACAGCCUCUUAUCUAUCUCCCAGUUUGUGGAUAUACAUUUGAUUUUGCCUUUUCCUCCUAAAAUCAGUCAGCGCAGUGAGACAGUACAUGAAGUCCCUUGGGCACGGUAUGGUGAAUAUAGCCCUCAGAAACUUUUUUC